AGCGAACGCUGGCGGCAGGCCUAACACAUGCAAGUCGAACGGAUCCUUCGGGAUUAGUGGCGGACGGGUGAGUAACACGUGGGAACGUGCCCUUUGGUUCGGAACAACUCAGGGAAACUUGAGCUAAUACCGGAUGUGCCCUUCGGGGGAAAGAUUCAUCGCCAUUGGAGCGGCCCGCGUCUGAUUAGCUAGUUGGUGAGGUAAAGGCUCACCAAGGCGACGAUCAGUAGCUGGUCUGAGAGGAUGAUCAGCCACAUUGGGACUGAGACACGGCCCAAACUCCUACGGGAGGCAGCAGUGGGGAAUCUUGCGCAAUGGGCGAAAGCCUGACGCAGCCAUGCCGCGUGAAUGAUGAAGGUCUUAGGAUUGUAAAGUUCUUUCACCGGGGACGAUAAUGACGGUACCCGGAGAAGAAGCCCCGGCUAACUUCGUGCCAGCCGCCGCCGUAAGAC
rnacentral:rRNA from 1 species